rnacentral:rRNA from 1 species
UACGAAGGGUGCAAGCGUUACUCGGAAUUACUGGGCGUAAAGCGUGCGUAGGUGGUUUGUUAAGUCUGAUGUGAAAGCCCUGGGCUCAACCUGGGAAUUGCAUUGGAUACUGGCAGGCUAGAGUGCGGUAGAGGGUAGUGGAAUUCCUGGUGUAGCGGUGGAAUGCGCAGAUAUCAGGAGGAACACCGGUGGCGAAGGCGGCACUCUGGGACGGUACUGACGCUGAGACGCGAAAGCGUGGGGAGCGAACAGG